ensembl:snoRNA
ACAUGCUGCCUUUGAGCCCCCGCUGGGCCUCCUCAUGGAGCCGGGAGUUAAGCUGCAGCACCAUAACACAUUGCUAGGGAUAACUGAGGCCACCUGCCCAUUGCAAGUGGUCCUUUUAACUGCCAGCUACAGGG